rnacentral:rRNA from 1 species
UACGGAGGAUCCGAGCGUUAUCCGGAUUUAUUGGGUUUAAAGGGUGCGUAGGCGGUUUGAUAAGUUAGAGGUGAAAUGUCGGGGCUCAACCCCGGCCCGCCGUUGAAACUGGCAGUCUCGAGUUGGAGAGAAGUAUGCGGAAUGCGCGGUGUAGCGGUGAAAUGCAUAGAUAUCGCGCAGAACUCCGAUUGCGAAGGCAGCAUGCCGGCUCCACACUGACGCUGAGGCACGAAAGCGUGGGUAUCGAACAGG